rnacentral:misc_RNA from 1 species
GAUGAAGAACGUAGCGAAAUGCGAUACGUAAUGUGAAUUGCAGAAUUCAGUGAAUCAUCGAAUCUUUGAACGCAUAUUGCGCUCUUUGGUAUUCCGAAGAGCAUGCUUGUUUGAGUAUCAGUAAACACCUCAAAGCUUUUGGAUUUUUUAAUCUAAAAGCUUUGGACUUGAGCAAUCCCAACACCAAUCUUUUUGAGAUCGGUGGCGGGUUGCUUGAAAUGCAGGUGCAGCUGGACAUUCUCCUGAGCUAAAAGCAUAUUCAUUUAGUCCCGUCAAACGGAUUAUUACUUUUGCUGCAGCUAACAUAAAGGGAGUUUGACCGUAUUGGCUGACUGAUGCAGGAUUUCACAAGGGUCGGCAACGAUUCUUGUUAAACUCGAUCUCAAAUCAAGUAAGACUACCCGCUGAACUUAAGCAUAUCAAUAAGCGGAGGA